GCGACGUUGGUGUAAUGGUUAGCAUCUACGUUUCCCAUCUAUGUCCCAGUGGCCUGCGUAGGAUUCGAGUUCGAUUCUUGAACGUCGCA